rnacentral:misc_RNA from 1 species
CCGAGAAAGCGCCCGGGGCGCUGACUUACCACACCCUCUGUGUACCUUUACCUUUGUUGCUUCCCGCUGGGUUUGCGCCCGGCGGGGAGGUCCACCAAACUCAUGUUUUUCCAUGCAGUCAGUUAGAGCGGCUCGUCCGCGAAAAUUUAAAAGUUA